GAUGAACGCUGGCGGCGUGCCUAAUACAUGCAAGUCGAGCGAACAGACGAGGAGCUUGCUCCUCUGACGUUAGCGGCGGACGGGUGAGUAACACGUGGAUAACCUACCUAUAAGACUGGGAUAACUUCGGGAAACCGGAGCUAAUACCGGAUAACAUGUUGAACCGCAUGGUUCAACAGUGAAAGACGGUCUUGCUGUCACUUAUAGAUGGAUCCGCGCCGCAUUAGCUAGUUGGUAAGGUAACGGCUUACCAAGGCAACGAUGCGUAGCCGACCUGAGAGGGUGAUCGGCCACACUGGAACUGAGACACGGUCCAGACUCCUACGGGAGGCAGCAGUAGGGAAUCUUCCGCAAAGGGCGAAAGCCUGACGGAGCAACGCCGCGUGAGUGAAGAAGGUCUUCGGAUCGUAAAACUCUGUUAUUAGGGAAGAGCAAAUGUGUAAGUAACUAUGCACGUCUUGACGGUACCUAAUCAGAAAGCCACGGCUAACUACGUG
rnacentral:rRNA from 1 species